rnacentral:rRNA from 1 species
GGUCAAGUUAUUAAGGGUGCAGGGCGGAUGCCUUGGCACUAGGAGCCGAUGAAGGACGUGAUAAGCUGCGAUAAGCUUCGGGGAGUUGCACGUAAACUUUGAUCCGAAGAUUUCCGAAUGAGGAAACUCACUUAGAGUAAUGUCUAAGUAUCAUUAAGUGAAUACAUAGCUUAAUGAGGGGAACUCAGGGAACUGAAACAUCUAAGUACCUGAAGGAAGAGAAAGAAAUUCGAUUCCGUAAGUAGCGGCGAGCGAACGCGGAUUAGCCCAAACCAAUAAAGUUUUCUUUAUUGGGGUUGCGGACAUAUCAUAACGAAGAGGUAUCGUAAUUGAAGAGGUUUGGAAAGACCCACCACAGAAGGUAAUAGUCCUGUAUGUUAAACGAGAAGACUUUAGAUAUGAUCCAGAGUACCACGGGACACGUGAAACCCUGUGGGAAGCAGGAGGGACCACCCUCCAAGGCUAAAUACUACCUAGUGACCGAUAGCGUAUAGUACCGUGAGGGAAAGGUGAAAAGAACCCCGGGAGGGGAGUGAAAUAGAACCUGAAACCCUGCACUUACAAGCUGUGGAAGCACAUUUCUUGUGUGACCGCGUACUUUUUGUAGAACGGGCCAACGAGUUACGUUAAGUAGCAAGGUUAAGCACUUAAGGUGCGGAGCCGUAGCGAAAGCGAGUUUUAACUGAGCGUUCAGUUACUUGACGUAGACCCGAAACCGGGCGACCUACCCAUGAGCAGGAUGAAGCGAAAGUAAAAUUUCGUGGAGGUCCGAACCCACGAGCGUUGAAAAGCUCGGGGAUGACUUGUGGGUAGCGGUGAAAUUCCAAUCGAGCCCGGAGAUAGCUGGUUCUCCCCGAAAUAGCUUUAGGGCUAGCCUCAAGGUGAGAGAUACGGAGGUAGAGCACUGAAUGUCCUAGGGGGUAUUGCACCUACCGAAGACUAUCAAACUCCGAAUGCCGUCAUCUUAUACUUGGGAGUCAGACUGUGGGUGAUAAGAUUCAUAGUCGAAAGGGCAACAGCCCAGAUCGUCAGCUAAGGUCCCUAAAUGUAAGUUAAGUGGUAAAGGAUGUGGGAUUGCACAGACAACCAGGAUGUUGGCUUAGAAGCAGCCACUCAUUCAAAGAGUGCGUA